rnacentral:tRNA from 1 species
CCUGAUAGCUCAGUUGGUAAAGAAUCUGCCUGCAAUGCAGGAGACCAGGGUUCGACCCCUGUGUUGGGA